UACAGAGGGUGCGAGCGUUAAUCGGAAUUACUGGGCGUAAAGCGUGCGUAGACGGUUAUUUAAGUCAGGUGUGAAAGCCCCGGGCUCAACCUGGGAAUGGCCGUUGAAACUGGCGAACUGGAGUGUGGCAGAGGGGGGUGGAAUUCCGCGUGUAGCAGUGAAAUGCGUAGAGAUGCGGAGGAACACCGAUGGCGAAGGCAGCCCCCUGGGCUGACACUGACGCUCAGGCACGAAAGCGUGGGGAGCAAACAGG
rnacentral:rRNA from 1 species